CAGCCCUAAACGAUGCGCGUUAGGUGUAUCGGUGACCACGAGUCACCGAGGUGCCGAAGGGAAACCGUGAAACGUGCCGCCUGGGAAGUAUGGUCGCAAGGCUGAAACUUAAAGGAAUUGGCGGGGGAGGCACCACAACGGGUGGAGCCUGCGGUUUAAUUUGGACUCAACGCCGGGAAGCUCACCGGAUAAGACAGCGGAAUGAUUGCCGGGCUGAAGACCCUGCAUGACCAGCUGAGAGGAGGUGCAUGGCGUAGUCGUGU
rnacentral:rRNA from 1 species